UGGGAACGUACCUUUCGGUUCGGAAUAAUUCAGGGAAACUUGGACUAAUACCGGAUAAGCCCUUCGGGGGAAAGAUUUAUCGCCGAUAGAUCGGCCCGCGUCUGAUUAGCUAGUUGGUGAGGUAAUGGCUCACCAAGGCGACGAUCAGUAGCUGGUCUGAGAGGAUGAUCAGCCACAUUGGGACUGAGACACGGCCCAAACUCCUACGGGAGGCAG
rnacentral:rRNA from 1 species